AAACAUAUCCUACUCAGACCAAGUCAUCACAACACCCUGUAGGGCCAGCUUCCUGGACACAAACAUAUCCUACUCAGACCAAGUCAUCACAACACCCUGUAGGGCCAGGUUCCUGGACACAAACAUAUCCUACUCAGACCAAGUCAUCACAACACCCUGUAGGGCCAGGUUCCUGGACACAAACAUAUCCUACUCAGACCAAGUCAUCACAACACCCUGUAGGGCCAGGUUCCUGGACACAAACAUAUCCUACUCAGACCAAGUCAUCACAACACCCUGUAGGGCCAGCUUCCUGGACACAAACAUAUCCUACUCAGACCAAGUCAUCACAACACCCUGUAGGGCCAGGUUCCUGGACACAAACAUAUCCUACUCAGACCAAGUCAUCACAACACCCUGUAGGGCCAGGUUCCUGGACACAAACAUAUCCUACUCAGACCAAGUCAUCACAACACCCUGUAGGGCCAGGUUCCUGGACACAAACAUAUCCUACUCAGACCAAGUCAUCACAACACCCUGUAGGGCCAGGUUCCUGGACACAAACAUAUCCUACUCAGA